GGAAAUAAAUGACUGGAUGGUCGCUGCUUUUUAAGUUUCAAAUUGACAUUCCAGACAAGCGGUGCCUGAGCCCGUGCCUGUCUUCAGAUCUUCACAGCACAGUUCCUGGGAAGGUGGAGCCACCAGCCUCUCCCUGACAAGCAAAGUGGAUCAGCAAAGGCUGCAGUCACCAGCAUCUUUUCCAACCUUAAUGAACUGUAUCCUCAAAAGAACACUAUCAGACUGGCUCUGCCGACUUCCAGUUCUGGAACAAGAUGGUUAAACUCAUUUUUCCCUGCUCUGCUCCUCUAAAUACAACUAAGUACCUUGGAAACUAUUCAGCAGACAAUGAUAAAGGGCUCUGAAAGCUAGAAGAAAAGGUGUACUUGCAAGAAACCUCAGGACUUGAGUAACAGCAACAUGUGGUGUGGAACCAAACUGGCAAUAUCUCAGAGGUAUGCCUAUAGUUAACAAGAAUAUAUUGCAUAUGUUCACAAAGCUGGAAGAGAAGAUUUUGAAUAUUCUCAGCAUGAAAAAAUGAUAUAUCUUUAGGUGACGUAUUUCCUAAUUAUCCUGAUUUGAUCAUUAUAUGCAUGUACUGAAAUAUCACUCUGUGCACCAUAAAUAUGCGCAAUUAUUUUGUGUCAACUAAAAAUAAAAGGAAAAAUAAAAGGCAGAGCCCUCUGGGAGGAGAAGACUAA
ensembl:lncRNA MIR4435-2HG MIR4435-2 host gene